GACGAACGCUGGCGGCGUGCCUAAUACAUGCAAGUCGAGCGGACGAAUCGAAAGCUUGCUUUUGAUUCGUUAGCGGCGGACGGGUGAGUAACACGUGGGCAACCUGCCCUGUAGACGGGGAUAACACCGAAAAAUCGGCGCUAAUACCGGAUAACACGAAAUGUCGCAUGACGUUUCGUUGAAAGACGGCGCAAGCUGCCGCUACAGGAGGGGCCCGCGGCGCAUUAGCUAGUUGGUGAGGUAACGGCUCACCAAGGCGACGAUACGUAGCCGACCUGAGAGGGUGAUCGGCCACACUGGGACUGAGACACGGCCCAGACUCCUACGGGAGGCAGCAGUAGGGAAUCUUCCGCAAUGGACGAAAGUCUGACGGAGCAACGCCGCGUGAGCGAAGAAGGCCUUCGGGUCGUAAAGCUCUGUUGUUAGGGAAGAACAAGUAACGCAGUAACUGGCGUUACCGUGACGGUACCUAACGAGAAAGCCACGGCUAACUACGUG
rnacentral:rRNA from 1 species